GUUUUCUGUCCCAUUCACACCUUAGGCCAAGGAGACUCAAGCAGUGUUCAGACACAGCACAGAUAAAUAUGAAAAUAUUUCUUUAUUUUCAGGCACUUGAUCCCAAGCCAAGGCAUCCAGCAGCUCACCCCUGCCCAGGCUCAGCAAGGCACAACGUCAUGGGUUUUGUUAACUAUUCCUCUUCCCUGCUCCUCACACUUCCAGAGCAGGUGUCCCAAGUACCCUCCCUGCUCACCAGAAGGUGGCCACAAGAAAGGUCGUCAGGGUUUGCACACCCACAGCCAAAGACUCUAUUUCUGCCCCUUUUGUUUCUUCUAUAGAAUCUUUUUCUAAUUCCAAAAUACUUUCACAAGAUACAGUAAAAAUCAAAUUGCAGUAACUGCAUCAAAAUGUUAUUGCAUUACAAUGAAUGUGGGCUGGGCUUUCAGCUAGAAUUUUAAUUAUUUGGGGGUGUUGCACAAUCUCUGGCCAUCAGCUCUAGAUGGGGAACAUUUAUUUUCUCUUAAGCCUCUGCUCUUAAGACUCGGGAAAGUCAUUAAAAUUAGGACAUUAAAAAAAAAUGCAGAACAUCUCCGUAGAUGCAAUUUACAGCCUUAUUUAAUUAUUAGCUAUGAUUACUCUAAUUGUACAACCUCAUUAGUUUUUCUUUUCCCCACUUAAAGGCAAUAUGGAAUCUUGAGGAAAUUGCAUCAAAUAAUGAGCCUUCAAGUGGUAACACUAAGACCCUAAAAACCAUAGAAUCAUAGAAUGGUUUGGGGUGGAAUUGAAGUUAAAAGUUAUCUCAUUCCGACUUCCCUGUCAAGAGCAGGGACACCUUCCGCUGUCCCAGGUUGCUCCAGACCCCAUC